rnacentral:rRNA from 1 species
AUGGAGAAAUGCCUUUUUGGUGUUGAUAAGCUCGUUUUCUUGGGUUUUGUGGUCUCUUCUAAGGGUGUCCAUGUAGAUCAGUCCAAGAUCAAUGCUAUUACGACUUGGCCGCAACCAACCAACUUGCAUCAAGUGCAUAGUUUUCUUGGUCUUGCGGGUUUCUAUCGUCGCUUUGUGAAGGAUUUUAGCACCAUUGUUUCGCCUUUGCAUGCUUUGAGCAAGAAGAAUGCGACGUUUAUUUGGGGACCAUCCCAAGAUACCGCAUUCAAUGAGAUUAAGAAUUUGCUUACUCAUGCUUACGUGCUUGCUUUACCAAACUUCGACAAGCCUUUUGAGAUUCAUUGCGAUGCUAGCGGUAAUGGCAUAGGAGGUGUGUUAACGCAAGAGAAGCGCCCCAUAGCUUACUUUAGUGAGAAACUUUACGGAGCGCAACUCAACUAUCCCAUCUAUGACAAAGAGCUAUAUGCUUUAGUCCGCGUUUUACAUGAAUGGGAACAUUACCUUCGUCCCCAUGAGUUUAUCAUUCAUACCGAUCAUGAGAAUCUCAAGUAUCUCAAGGGUCAAACUAAGUUGAACAAGCGUCAUGCUAAAUGGAGUGAAUUCAUUGAGUCUUUUCCCUAUGUCAUCAAGUACAUCAAGGGUAAAGAAAACAUCGUAGCGGAUGCACUUUCCCACAUAUGCAUGCUAGUCACGCAACUUGAGUUAGAUGUCAUUGGCUUCGAGCAUAUCAAAGAAUUGUAUGCGCAUGAUGAAACUUUUGCCACUCCUUAUGCCAAGUGUUUGUCGCAUACAUCGUGGGAACGCUAUUACAUCAAAGACGGCUACCUUAUGAGAGCUAACAAACUUUGCAUCCCCAAGUCGUCCCUUCGUUUAUUGCUUUUGCAGGAAUCGCAUGGAGGAGGAUUAAUGAGACACUUUGGAUGCGAUAAGACGUUCGCCACGCUCUCGAAGAGCUACUUUUGGCCAAAGAUGUUUCGGGACGUCAAUCGCUUCACCAACCGAUGUUCGACAUGCCGCAAAGCUAAGUCCAAAGCUCAAUCUCAUGGCCUCUAUAUGCCUCUACCGAUUCCAUACCAACCUUGGGAAGACAUUAGCAUGGACUUUGUACUUGGUUUUCCUAGAACUCGCAAUGGGAAAGAUUCCAUAUUUGUAGUUGUGGACCGUUUCUCAAAAAUGGCACAUUUUAUUCCUUGUCACAAGAUAGACGAUGCUUCACAUGUUGCUAAUCUCUUUUGUAGGGAAAUAUUGCGUCUACAUGGUGUGCGAAAGACAAUUGUCUCGGACUGCGACAUCAAGUUCCAUAGCUACUUUUGGAAGACCCUAUGA